rnacentral:tRNA from 1 species
UCCCUGGUGGCUCAGAUGGUAAAGCAUCUGCCUGCAAUGUGGUAGACCCAGGCUCGAUCCCUGGGUUGGGAA